rnacentral:rRNA from 1 species
AUUGAACGCUGGCGGCAGGCCUAACACAUGCAAGUCGGGCGGUAGCCCAGAAGAGCUUGCUCUUUGGGUGACGAGCGGCGGACGGGUGAGUAAUGUCUGGGAAACUGCCUGAUGGAGGGGGAUAACUACUGGAAACGGUAGCUAAUACCGCAUAACCUCGCAAGAGCAAAGAGGGGGACCUUCGGGCCUCUCGCCAUCAGAUGUGCCCAGAUGGGAUUAGCUAGUAGGUGAGGUAAUGGCUCACCUAGGCGACGAUCCCUAGCUGGUCUGAGAGGAGGACCAGCCACACUGGAACUGAGACACGGUCCAGACUCCUACGGGAGGCAGCAGUGGGGAAUAUUGCACAAUGGGCGCAAGCCUGAUGCAGCCAUGCCGCGUGUGUGAAGAAGGCCUUCGGGUUGUAAAGCACUUUCAGCGGGGAGGAAGGCGGUAAGGUUAAUAACCUUAUCGAUUGACGUUACCCGCAGAAGAAGCACCGGCUAACUCCGUGCCAGCCGCCGCAGUAA